AGGGACAAGGCUUUCAUCAGUCAUCCCUGGUGGACCCUCCCAAGAAAACCCUAAGGGGUUCCAAGAGCCUCUCAUUGGGGAAGUGUCCACAGUUGGGAGGGUGACGCACCCCGAACUCCACAGAGACUGAAGCUCCUGGAUCCCACCUCUCGCACACCUGGCCCCUACUUCCUCAUCUGCCUGUACAUCCCUUUAGGAUCCACAGGUAAGUCACGCAUUUCCUUAGUUCUGUGACAAGGGGGCCGUGGGGACCCUCCCUCUGUAGCCGCAUUGGACGGAAGUGUGGGAGACCUGGCCCCCCUUUGCGAUUGGUGGUGAAGUGCCGUUCGUCCUGGGGCGCUGGGCCCUUCCCUGUGGUGUCCGUGCCAACUCUGGGCAGUUUCAGAGGUGAAUAGAAUUGUAGGACACCCAGCUGGGGUCCGAAGGAAAAUGGAUCAUUGUUGGGUGUGGAAAAGCCACACGAUGGGUGUCAGAAGCACUAGGUGUAGACAAACAGUCUUCUUUGAGCAAUUGAAACAGUUAUACGCCUUUGGAGCGGACACCUCCUCCUGGCGGACCCCUCUGCUCUGGGCCUUUUCCCAGUUACCCAUCCUUCUCCCUGUAAUCAGAAUUCUCUAAAACACGAAUUAGAUCGUCUCCCUAUGUGCUUAAAAUGCUUGGCGGUUUUCAUGGCUGUUAGAAAAAGGACAAAUGGCCUCACCUGCCCUGCGGACGGAGGCGGGGCAGCUGGUGGGGGGCGGGCACGGAUGUGGGAACACGCUUUGGGGCUGGUGGAAAUCACCUCUCACGUGCUACAUGUCCAGCUUAAACUCCAUGUUCUAGUGCUUCACGGCCUUGACCGUGUGUUCUUAUUACGUACGUCUGACAUAGCAAAGCGGUUACAGUACUUGGGGACUAAUCAGCGUGCCCAGCCAUCUAAGAGUGGCGCCGUUUGCUUUCGCAAGGCUGACAGUGCUGGCAUCUGUCAAUAAAUCCAGUGUUGCCUUGUCAUUUCCAACAGGUGUGCCUCCUCUCUCCACUGGGGCUUUGAUUUCUUGUGCGGGACUUCUAAUACACCUACGUAUGAGGAAAAUCCAUGUUUGCUUCCUGGUUUCAUCCGCCCACCUCGAUGUUGUUGACUGUUGUGGGCUUUGGGUAGUGAGGUCAAUCACAUCCCCUGAGACAGAGACCCAAGGGGAGCUCAAACCCAACCAAGGACACCAUCUCCAGGAAUUGGAGGCAGAGUGGCAACUACUCUUGGUGUGAAAAUUCAUGGAGGGUGUGGACAUGUGUGACCUAAUCAGGCUCUCGGCCAGCUCUAGGUAGUGCUAUUGCCUGUCCCUGUCUUUACAUACUGAUGGAUACAUUUAAGAACUAAAUAUUAGUCAGUUUUAAGCCGGUGGUGUAAGCAGUACAGAAGGAUGGAGAGAGGGUUUCGUGCCUGGGUGACGGGAGAGGGUAAUGAGAGAGGAAAGUAGGCUGGGUUUCUUGCCACCAUCGUACCUCUUCCACGGGCUGGAUCUUUCCAACGGUGUUCCACUCGCUGGAGACCUCAUCACCUGGUUUUCUCCUUAAAGAAUACCUCACUGGUCCCACAUAAUCAAACUCCGUGUGCCCAGAGAGGUGUUCACGUAGCCACAAGCUCCUUUUCUCUGCAGAGUUACACCUGCUGUCUCCAGUGAUGGCAGCAUCUGUGACCUGUCCUGUGAUGUCCCAGGACCUCACACAGUGCCUUGGGCAUGAGAGUCCCCCCCGAAUUACGUGAAAUGAAUGGAAUACGUUCUCCUUUAGAAACUGAUUCAUUUCCUGUCUUGUUCACCUUCAGAGACAUAGCCUUCAUGGAGAACAAAAAAAAAAGUUCUUAUUUGGUGAAGUGACUUUGUUUAACGUGUUCCAUAAGACUGAAGGAAACACCAGUUUUAAUUCUUAGACAUUCUGUUAAAUUCACACGAAGAUCUCUUAGGGAAGCAUUGGCUUUGUUAAAAACUGGUUCAGCAUGACGUGCCGACUGGGCAGAUCUUUUCUUUUAGCCUGCCUGGUUUGCUUCUUAUCAAGGCGGAAGAAAUCUCCUGAGCAUCUUCUCCGUUAAAGCCAUCCUUCUAAUCACAUGCGCAAGGGUGGGUUUUGUGGGCGUCUGUGAACUUGGCAUGCAAUCCUUUCUACCUGUUUGAAUCUUUCCCACUAUUGAGGAAUAUUUUAAGAGGUAAGUAGGUCAAACAUUAUCAGGAAACAAAUGUUUCAUUGCACCACUUUUCAGCACAGGGAGGGAACAGGGACUGAAUUUGGUCAGCCACCACAAAGUGCUCUAAUUUUGUUUCCAUCCGCCUGCCAGCAGCCCCUGGGUCUGAUAAGCUCAUCAACUGGGUCCAGAUUUUCAUUCAUGGGUGGCCCAGGGAAUAAGGCGGAGUUCAGGUGACAGAAUCAGGUGAGGUCAGAGAGAACCCAGGUGUUCUUUGUCUUCUGCGCUGCAGUCUGUGGAGGUGGUGGCCUUGAGCUUGGUAGUCAGAGGCUCAGCUUCAGGACAGAGAGCUGUGAUGGGGCAGCAAAGAGGUCAACUCUUCUGUGCAUCUCUGCGAGUUAGGAGGAUACUCUCAAGAGUACUGCAGAAGACACCCUUACCUCUAUCACAAAAAUCGGAUAAACCGCUAAGUUCUUGAGCUGGGCAUUUGCACGAUUCCAGGGAUUGUCUCUAGCUCAAUCCAAUACCCCAAAUUCCAGAGGAUGGAAUCAGCUUUUCUAUGGACAUUGGGCCACAUGGGGUGGAGUUGGGGAUAAAGGCAUGAACAAAAUCAUGCAUCACGUUGGAAAUAGAAGUGGGGAAAUUCAUCCUGGGAGGAUGUGGCCAGUGUUGCAGUGCAGAUGUCCAGAUGGUGUGUUCGCUUGUGUGGUUGACAGACUAAAAUCCUCAAUGAUACAGGUUCACGAAUGCCAGUCUUUUUUACAUCAAAUCAAGUAGAACUUAGGAAGGUUCAGGGGGAUGAAAAAAGCAUGAUAAAGUUUGUGCAUUCUUUGGAUUUUAUUUUUGUUGCUGAACAUGACAUUUUUAAAAAAAUGGUGCUUUUCAAGUGGCCACGUUCUUGUCAGAAGAAUGGAAAUAACAAAGCUGAAAUAACACUCAAAGCCUUCUGGUUCUGCAAGGGUAUCCAACAUCAUAAUUAUCUCAUAAAAGACACCAACUCAGGAUUUGAAAGUCUUUACACAGUAUCUUCUGUGAUGCCGAGCUUGCCAAAGACAGUCCAUUUGGGUUGAGGAAUCAAAAUAAAGCAUUAUGAAUUCAGGUGAAAGAGACUCAAGGCAUGCCUGGUUUCUCCAAUCCAAACCAAUCAAUGUUUGAAAUGUAAACUUGGAAUUCUGAUUCCAUUUCCGUUGUAGGACUAGGGAAAUGAAGGGAGCAUGCUCGCAUGUUUCUCCCAAGCAAGAUGCAUGUUAUUUUGACACGGGGCAAAUGUUCCCAAAACAUCUUGGUAAUAUAUCCACAUGCAUAAGUAUCAAAGGCUAUUCUGAAUGAGGUACCAAGGUACAUGCAAAUCUAGUUUUCACUAACUUUUUUCUUUAAUUAAACAUCUCUCUUUGGCGUUACCCACCUAGACAAAGACACUCCUUUUGGCAACAUAGUUGUUAACCUUUUUUCUUUUUUUAAAUGAAACAUCUGUCUUUGAUUUGACCCACUCAUAGACGAAGGCACUAUUUUUGGCAAAAUUGUUAAUUUAGGUACCAUGAUUCAUUAGGAGUGACAAAACAUGAUGGAGAAAACUUUCCUGGAAGUUUUGAUGGAAUGAGUAAGGGAAGUUUCAUUUUUAUACCUAUUGAUGUAUGUGUCAAAUUCCCUUCAGGAACCACAGCUCAAUGCAUCCUUUGUCAAUUCUUUGGCUUCCCAUCUGCCCUUGAUGGGAAUAGUAUUUGAUGUACAAUGGAUUUAUGACCCAUCCCAUAAUAUGGUGCCCUCUCUGUGGAGGUGUCUUGUGUUGCUUUAGGAAACCUCAGAAGUGCAGUAGCUACCUUAUUUCCUUGAACCCAAGAAAGCUUGGUCAUAGGACACACCCUAUUCCAUGGUUCUCUGAAAGAAAAAACACUGCCAAUCAAACCAGUGGCUUAAGGUUUUCUUAUCACACCAUUUUUCUUUUAUCCUUAAUUCAAGCAAGUCUUUCAAAUGGAUGUUAGGCCAUAUUCAUAUGUUCAUAAAACAGCACACAUAUAAAGCAAAUCACAUAAGGGGUCCGUGAAAUUUUUUGCAAACUUUAGAUUUUGAUUGUUCACAUCUUGACACCAUGCUAUAAUCUCCCAUGUCUUUAGUAUUUUGUUAAUGUGUCAUUCAUGGUAUAAUCUUCCCUGUCACUAGUAUUUGUUAGUGUGUCAUUCUGGGCUAUGCGGUCACUACCUAUAUGAAAAUACAACCAGGUCCUGAAAAGUGCACACAUCAUUCAUAGAAAGGUCCAGUGAUCAAAAAAAUACACUGUGGUGUGUAUUCCCUUGGUCAAAAAGUUGGCCAUGGCAAAGAAAUUCUCCCUGUAACUAACUCCCCCCACCUUCUUCCAGUCAUGACACAGAUUAUUUUUGGUAAUAUUUAUAAAACUAGAAUCAUAGAAUAUUUUUCUGCAUCUGGCCUCUAAUGCUUAAUGCUACGUUUGUGGCAUUCUCCAGUACUGUUUGCUUCGUGGUGGUACGUUCAUUUUCAAUACCAUGUGAUGGUUUAUGCUAUACAAAUACUGUCAUUUAUUGGUUGAAACUAUCAUUGAUGGAUGUUUGAUGUGUUUCCCAUUGGGGGCUAUUAUAAAUAAUGCUGGUGAACACAAUUGUGCAUAUAUGCCUAAAAGUGAAAUGGGUGAGUUUUCACGGAUAUCUAUGUCCAUCUGUACAUACAUGUUUCAAAGAGCUGGUAUUUACACUCUCCCCCAGCAUUCCCAUAAUAGUCUAUAUCUGUGCUAUCCCACGUGGUGGCCACAGUCACACAUCAUCACUUCAAUUUAAUGACUAAAGAUAAAAUUUUAAAUUGAGUUCUUCUGGAGUUCCCAUGGUGGCUCAGCAGUAAUGAAUCUGGCUAGUAACCAUGAUGAUGUGGGUUCUAUCCCUGACCUUGCUCAGUGGGUUAAAGGAUCUGGCAUUGCCAUGAGCUGUGGUGUAGGUCACAGACAGGGCUCAGAUCCCACGUUGCUGUGGCUCUGGUGUGGGCCAGCAGCUACAGCUCCGAUUUGACCCAUAGCCUGGGAGCUUCCAUAUGCUGUGGGUGCAGCCCCAAAAAGACAAAACAAAUUGAGUUCUUCAGUCUGAGUAGCCACAUUUCAAGUACACACUGGCAGCAUGUUACUACCACACUCGAUAGCAUAGAGGAGAAACUUAACAUUACUCCCAUUAGUGGGAGUUCCCGUCAUGGCGCAGUGGUUAACGAAUCCGACUAGGAACCAUGAGGUUGUGGGUUUGAUCCCUGCCCUUGCUCAGUGGGUUAAGGAUUCGGCAUUGCCGUGAACUGUGGUGUAGGUCACAGACACGGCUUGGAUCCUGCGUUGCUGUGGCUCUGGCAUAGGCUGGUGGCUACAGCUCCAAUUCGACCCCUAGCCUGGGAACCUCCCAUAUGCCGUGGGAGCGGCC
rnacentral:lncRNA from 1 species